AUCUCUCUCUAAUCUCUAUAUAUAUUUAUAUCGCGGAUGGACCUGAACCUUUCUCUCUCUCUCUCUCUAUAUAUAUAUAUAUAUAAAUAAGGGCACAGAAGAAGAAGAAGCACUGAGGCAGCUAAGUAAGGGAAUCGAAAGAGGUGCAGAUGCAAUUGCAGGCGAAACCUACUUGGGAAUUAUUAUUGUUCUUCUUCUUCUUCAUCUCUCUCUCUCUAAAAAGGGUGAGAUGAUCCAUGAGGUUAGAAACUUAACUAAAGUAAUUGAAUUUCCAGUGGGUUUUCAAAGAAAUAUCACACACACACAGGAGAAACAAUUCUAUGAAUUCUCUCUCAAGGCUCUCUCUCUCUCUCUAUGUGAAAUUCUAUGAAUUCUCUCUCAAGGUACUCUCUCUCUCUCUCUAAAAUUCCAUCAAUUCUCUCCCAAGGUACUCUCUAUCUCUCUCUAAAACUUACUUCGAUACUUAUCUGCAAAAAUAAAUCACCAUGACUCCAAUUAGAUAUCACCGUUUGGUUGGUUAA